CUUCUAUGAUGACAGCUCACUAGGCAGGCAGCGUGGAUCUAUGUUCCAGUCUCCUCUUGCAGAUCAGAUACCACCUCUGAGAUCCUUCUCUGCUCCUCACUGACCAAACUCAAGGAACAGAUCUUCCCUGCCCAGGUCUCCAGGACCCCAACCUACCCACUUCUAGGAGAGAAUUCACACAGGGUGGUCCUGAAAGGAGGAGGUGCUUUGCUUCUCUUUUUCGCAGAUGUCAAUUAUGGAUCAACUUCUGAGUCACAUAGAAGAGCACCAUCAAUUGGCCAUUUCUCACCUGAUCACUGAGGAUAUAAAGUGCUUUUCCAGACUCCAGGACUCGGUUCAUUGCUAGUAUCAGGACGCCUCUCAUGUAUGGGAAGCCAGAAACAUCCCAGGAGCCUCACUGACUGCUUGGGCACAGCCCUCUGAGCAGACCUAUGAAGAAACAGAAGGAUUUGUGCCUUUUAGGUAUCUCUGGUCAAAACAGGUAUUUGAAGUUCUGAUUCUGCUAUUAUCUGGCACCUCCACUUGGCCCAUUGCUGGAAAUAUUAGGACUAGAAAACAUCAAGAUCAGGCACCGAACAGGCAAAUCUCCACUGAGUGGUUCUGAUGUGCAAAUAGCUGAUGAAGACUGGUUAUGGUUAUAAAAUGGAACACAGUUUUCUAAUUACAUAGUGUGUGGGUCUCGUGUGUGUGUGUGUGUGCAUGCAUGUGUGUGCAUGUGUGUGUUCGUGUGUGUGUGUGUGCAUGUAUAUCUAAGGUGCUUCACAUUUAGCUCUCAGCUCUCAGAAUGAGUCCACAUUCUGAGGUAAAUCUAUGGUGUUUGAUACCAACCAAUUUGAGAGAAACAUCUGGUGUCAUUUGCUUUUCUAGAUUCAUUUUUAUAUCUCCAAGACAGAGACACAACAAAGCUUUACUUAGGGCCAACUUAUUCUAAAGUUUUAUUGGUAUCUAGAAGUAGACACCCAUGUCUCUUCCACUUCCUUAUUUGAAUAAAAUUAAGUGGGUCUAGUCCUUACCUUAAUUCUCUCUUAAAAAUGCUCAAGAAAACCAAUUUCAAUAGCUGGGCCUAAAACAAUAUUACAAAACUUGGGUGCUAGGAUUAUAACAAGGAUUUUUCCAACCAGCAAGAAACAAAGCAAGACUUUCAAACAGUUUUAUUAUUUUUUAUCUUUUUAAAAAUUGUAUUGGGGUAAAAUACACGUAGCAUAAAAUUUACCAUCUUAACCAUUUUUAGGCCUACAGUUCAGUGGUACUAAGUACAUUCCUAUUGUUAUACGGCCACUACCACUAUCCAUCUCCAGAAUCUUUUCAUCUUCCCAAACUGAAAUUCUGCCUCCAUUAAACAAUAACUCCCCAGUCCCAUCUUUCCCCAGGCCCUGGAAACCACCAUUCUAUUUUCUGUCUUUAUAAAUUUCACUACUCUAGACAUUUCAUAUAAAGAGAAUCAUAUAAUAUGUGUUCUUUUGUGGCUGGCUUAUUUCGCAGAGCAUAAUGUCUUCAAGCUUCAUCCAUGUUGUAGCAUAUGUCAGAAUUACCUUUGUUUUGAGGGUGAAUAAUAUUUCAUCAUAUGUAGAUGCCACAUAUUGUUUACUCACUCAUCCCUCAAUGGACGCUUGGGUUGCAUCCACGUUUUGGCUACUGUGAAAAAUGCUGCUAUGAAUAUGGGUGUACAAACAUCUCUUUGAGACCCUGCUUUCAACUCUUUUGGGUAUAUACCCAAAAGGUUAAUUGGUGGAUCAUACAGUAUUUCUACCUUUAAUUUUUUGAGGACUCACCAUAGUGUUUUCCAUAGCAGUUACAUCAUUUUACAAUCCUACCAAUAAACGGUACACAAGGGUUCCAAUUUUUUCACAUCCUUGCCAACACUUGUUAUUUUAUGUUUUUAGGCUAGCCAUCCUAAUGGGCAUGAGGCCUUCCAAACAGUUUUAUGAUCGACUAAGUUAACCAAGUAAACCAGAUCAAUGACGGGCCAUAACAUCAAUGACCAAAAGAAAGGGGGAUGGAAGACACUCAGAAAGUUCCACCCCAGCCCUUACAACAUUGUUUGAAUGGAGAGUAGAAGGGGACAAGCUCCCAUUUCACAAGGUAAAGUUUAUAGAUUACCUAGAUG
rnacentral:lncRNA from 1 species